AUAAUAAAAAAAACAGUAAGUUGUGAGAAGAAAGUUGAGUAAUUCCUAUGUACUCACUUUCUAAACUAGGGAAUGAUAAAUGAAUAAUAUCUUAGUCUAGUAAUUAAAGAAAUAAUGGGUUGAGUAUGCCUUAAAAUUACAAAUGUAAUCUACUUCAAACCUGAUUUAAUAGUCAGCAAUCAUCCACUGUAAGAACUAAAUUAUGAUACUGUCCUUGGAUCAAGAAGAUAUCAAAUUUUUAAUAUUUCUUCUCACAUCCUCCCUUCUUUUAAGGAAGAAGUAUUCAUUUCUUGUUGUAUCUGCGGCAGCAACUGUUUUGAAUAAAGAAUCAGGUAAUUGGUGAGAAGAGACCUUGCAGUUGAGAGCAUAGGCAUAGCAGGUGGGGAAUGGAAUUUCUGUAUCUCUCAUCUUCAGCAUUUUUCAUGUUUUUCUUCACCUGCAUUAUAAAACUUUAUGAACCUGUGCUGGAAUGCAACAAUGUAGCUUACAGUCCAUUGGCUUUGCUGCAAUCAGUCUUCUGAGACGCCUUUGUGGACAUGAUUUUGCAGAUGAAGUCUCACUCUGUUGCCAGGCUGGAGUGCAAUGGCACAAUCUCGGCUCACUGCAGUCUCCGCCUCCCAGGAUCAAGCAAUUCUCCUGCCUCAGCCUCCCAAGUAGCUGAGACUACAGGCAUGCACCACCAUGCCCAGUUAAUUUUUUUGUAUUUUAAUAGAGACGGGGUUUCAUCAUGUUCAUCAGGAUGGUCUCGAUCUCCUGACCUCGUGGUCCGCCUGCCUCGGCCUCCCAAAGUUCUGGGAUUACAGGCAUUAACCACUGCUCCUGGCCUCAGCUAGUUCUUUAUAGCAGUGUAAAAAUGGACUAAUACAAGAAUUUAAAUUUACUUGGUUUGGGACAGUGCUUAGAGAUUCCUACCUAAUUCAAACGUGUGGUUAUGAUUGAAAACCACCAACUGACUUCUACAAUAAAUUUACAUUUUUCACGAAAUACAUUGCAUUUUUGUGAGAGGGCAGGAGACCAAUCAGAGAGACACAGACUUGUUAGUUAAGGCUCAGAUAAAAACAAAGGCAUGUAACUUAAUUAAGAUGACUUUCAUUUUUUAUUGAUUGACCAAAUAGAUUUUUCAUGAAUGGCCUGACAUGACUUGAGAUGAUCCUAGAGAAACUGAAUAAUCAUGCUUCAGAGGAAGAAAAUAUUACCUUGAGUUUCAGUGUCAAAGAAGACGUCACAGGUGAAUAUUUUGAACUGUGUCUACAGGCUUCAAAUACGGGUAGGAGUCAAUGCUUCAGACAGGGGUAUUAGAUAUUACCAUUACUGCCUUCUGUUUUUCUUCUCUGCAAGUCUGCCUUAAAGGCCAAGGAUUCAGAGUUUUUCCAUUGCAGUUUGCCUCACCCACUCAAUUCAACAAAAUGUCUGAAUCCAGGCACUCAGUGCUAAAAGGGCAUGUCACGGGGAACAAGACGGAUGUCGACCUUGCUCUGUAGAAGAUCUCCAUACAGUAACAACGUGGCCUAAUAAACGCUACGGUGAGGGAAGUACCUGGUGCCUUCAAGUCAUAUAGUAGAGUUACCUUACCAAGCCUUGCAUACUCUGAGAAAUCUUUCAGACUAAAUACAUUCUACAUCGGAACAUUUUGAAAGAUUGGUAUGGAAUAGGGCAAAAUAGGGCUGGUCAAAGGUAGAAGGAUGGGAGGAAUAAAUUAAGAAGCGGUAGUUAUUUGGGAGUGAGUAGCAUACAGUGCAAGAUGGGUGACAUCGUGGACAUGGGUUUGAAGAGUAAGUCAGAUUCAGAUGUGAAGGGCUUUUAUUUGUUUCUUUGUUUAUUUUAAAUUAAUACAUAGAUUUUAUUGAAUUUUGGGAACUUGGUAUUUCUUUUUAAGUUUCAAAUCUUUGCACACAAGUUUCCACUAUAGUUUCUAAUAUAGUGGAAGUUAGGACUUCAAGACCGUCACUUAUCUUCGUGUGUCACAUAACACAGACAUCCCAAGUCCCAACACUGCCCCUGGACUCCUUUUCCAGCCAUGAACCGAAGAAUACAAAAGGGAAACCCACCUAUGAUCCAAAUUAUGUCGUGCAUUGCAAAGUGUGUGUGGCGUGAUUUGGGGGUUGAUUUUCCUCUCGCUUCAGUAUAGUAUGCUCCUGGAUAGGUGAUCUCCUUAAAUAUUCUAUCUAUUUCCAUCGUUGUCCUCUGCUACAAUAAUAGAGUAGUUCGUAGUCAUGAGGGGCUUUUUAAAUGUCAUGUUUAGGAGUGUGGAGUUUCUACAAAACAAUAGGAAACCCUGAAAGAGUUUUGAACUGUGGAAUGACAUAAUCAGAGAGCAAAUGUGUUGUUAUGCUGAUAUGUGGGGGAAAGAUUUAAGAAGGAGCAGGUCUUGAGAUAAGAAAUUCAAUUAUGUGUCUGAUAUAAUAUUUCAAGACCCAGAGGCUGGUCCAAUGAAGCACAGUUGUGACAACAGUGAAGGAGGUAAGCAGAUGUGUUUCAAAGACAAUCUGGAGGUGCAAUAGAUACAGGACCUGGAGAUUGUUUACACAUUAGCUAUAAAGAGAGAAUUAUCAGGGACAGCAGAAGAUCUGGCUCUAUCCUUGUCCAAGAAAAAUAAUUUACAGUGCAUAAUAUUGACCUAUGGUAUUUACGGUAUUUACUACUUCAGUAUUAUAUCUCUCUUGCCUCCAACUCUGCUACUAAAAUAAGUAUUAAAAAAAAAAACCCUCUGGCUCUACUGAGAACACCAGUACAGUCAAUUUGCUUCAUGAUCCUCGAGGAGAGGGUUGAUUUGGAGGAUUUCAUUUUGUAAUUCACUGGGGGCUCAUGCUGAAAUGAACUGUGACACAUUCACAACUAUCUUAAUAUUGCAAAACGUAGAAUGCAAGGAUAUUUGCGUACCUCUGUCUGCCAACCUUGGACAAGAAACCCCUUUCACCUUAAAACUCAUUCAUCCUUCCAAAUGAUCCCAUUUAGUGUGUGACUCAUAUUCAUUCAGCUGCAGUACUCGAAACAUUUAAAGGAUCCAUGGGCCAUUUGCUUCUUUUAGAGAUUGUUAGCAAUGGUAUCUUGGGGAUUUAUGCUUCCUUUUCCAUGUUUCGUGAACUGUGAGGUGGGUUUUUGUGAUUCAUUUAUUGUAGUCUGGAAAAGGAACAGCAAGAAUAGGAGAGAAAUAGUGAGGGAGACAAUGUCUGUGUUUACUGUUUGGACACUGAGCGCUGGCAAAAACAGUAUUCUGCAUUCAAAUGAUAAAUAUUCAGCAAGGAUGAAUCAGGCAUAGAAUUACCAAGUGAAAAGAAUAGGUUUUAUCUGUAUUCGUAUUGAUUCCAGGUUAGUCAUACAUCAUCUUUAUUGAAAAUAGCGCGUGGCUGGCAAUGAAAGCAGUGUGUUCUCGCAUUCCCCUUCUAACUUGCUGCUCUUUGACUCCAUGCAUUGUAAAGUUUUCUCUCCCACGUUCACAGCCAAACAUUAAAUGUAAGUAGGUACAGGGAUUGGAACUAGCUGAAAUUAGCUAUCCUAUUUUAAAAACGUAAUUUAUUCUUUCCUUUGCUGUCUUUUCCUACCAGACUAUAAAGCCCUCUGUAAUAUCACAAAUUACUUUCUUUCCAUAUGCUAAUUUCUUACGCAGUUCCCAAGCACAGUGGUUAUUUGAUCUGUACUUAAAAAUUUUAUUAAAUUCCCUUUCCUACCCAC